rnacentral:rRNA from 1 species
GAUGAACGCUGGCGGCGUGCUUAACACAUGCAAGUCGAACGAGAAAUGGAGACGGAAACCUUCGGGCGGAAGGCUUCAUUCCGAGUGGCGGACGGGUGAGUAACGCGUGGGUAACCUGCCUCAUACAGGGGGAUAACAGUUGGAAACGACUGUUAAUACCGCAUAAGACCACAGCACCGCAUGGUGCGGGGGUAAAAACUCCGGUGGUAUGAGAUGGACCCGCGUUCGAUUAGCCAGUUGGCGGGGUAACGGCCCACCAAAGCGACGAUCGAUAGCCGAUCUGAGAGGAUGACCGGCCACAUUGGGACUGAGACACGGCCCAAACUCCUACGGGAGGCAGCAGUGGGGAAUAUUGCACAAUGGGGGAAACCCUGAUGCAGCGACGCCGCGUGAGUGAAGAAGUACUUCGGUAUGUAAAGCUCUAUCAGCAGGGAAGAAAAUGACGGUACCUGAGUAAGAAGCCCCGGCUAACUACGUG